ACUAAACGUGUUUUCUCCUGCAUUUCCUAUGGUUGAUAAAUCUUUGUGCCAAUUUGAUAUGAUACUUAAUUUGGACCACAUGCUUGUUACUGAUAGUGUCUUCUUUGUGUGAUCUGUGUUUACAUUCUAUAAUUGUAUACUUGUCCUUGCCAUUGCCCUGUCCUGAAAUUCUUGCAAGCUAGAUCUAUUGUUUUUCAUUUGCUCGCUACUACACAACAAUAUUACUUCUGUAAACCUAAUAACCUCAAAGAUUAUAACGUGAUUAAAUAGUAUUUCCUGGAGAAGGUUCAGCAUUGGUGCUCUUCCAUGUCAGCUAGAGGAGAAAGAUGAAGAGGAGCCGCUUCUCUGGCCAGACCCGGGGUCGGGGCCGGCACGCCACUGACAUAUCUACGCCUGCGACCAUGGCCACACGCAUGGGCUGACGCCGCUAAUGAAGAUGCGUACCCUUAGCCACGAAUUUGUCCCUGAUCCCAUCCAUGCAGGUGGGCUUCGCUGCCAUGGAAUGACACCUCUGAUCUCCCAUGUAGAUGAGCUCGGGUUCAUGGAAGCCAUGUCCAAGCAAACUGAGUGCUUUGAAGGUUUUAUAGAAAAGGAAUCGGAAGCUCGGAGAGACCUCACGUGAAUCAGCAGGCAAUUCCCUAUGGGCAAGCCUUAAAUCAUUAUCUUGAACAGAUAGUUUCACUUUUUCACGACAGAAUAUAUGCUGUGAAUGAAAUCGGCCUUGAUGACCGCUAUUUAGAAUUUAGGCAAGUGGAAGGAGAUGGGGAGUGUUUCUACAGGAGCUUCAUAUUUUCCUACCUUGAGCAAGUUCUUGAUAGGAAAGACACAAAUGAGGAACGCCGCCUCCUUGCAGCUAUCCAAGAGUUGGCUGAGGAACCUGCACGUUUUGGAUGGGCCUCUGAAUUUUCUAGGAGCCAUGAUGUUAAUGUCAAGGGCUUGAAAGGUGUGAGGGAAGUAAACAUGGAUCUGAUGGUGAUGGGAAUCUUUCUUAUAAAGAAAGAUACAUAGGGUGUAUGAUCUGGUGCAUAUUAGAUAAUCAAAGUUGAUGCAUUGUGCACCAAUCUGGUUGAUGUUUACAUAAUCCAAGCAGAUUUACCAAUUUGAAGAGCCAUGUAUUAUUGUAGCUUCCUCUCUACAUCAAGUACACAUAAAUAUAAUGCCGAAGAAUGUAGUUUAUUUUAUUGUUCUGCAGAUCUUCCCCGCGAGGCGCUACAGAUCAGAUGGGCGCUGUUGUGAAGGCCGCGAAGGCGUGGCAGGUGGCAUGGGUUAGCAUGUGGGUGGUACCACCAUGCUGCUCUGGACGUGCAUUGUGGUGCUGCUCGUGGCGGCUUUCGGAGGGAGACAGAGUGAACAUAGAGAAUUUGGGAGCUACUUGGGUUUGGAUCAGCAAGCCAUGUCCGUUUGGUUUGGCAAAGGAAGGCCUUUUAUCCUUUUUCUAUAAUGCCAUGAACAUCUCUGAAUUUUUACACUGGUUCCAGCCGAUGCUUAAUAUUUUUUCCAACAUUUUUGUGACUGGAGCCCACACAUACAUAGUCAUGGAUCUGAUUUUGAUUUUUGGACCUUGCUAUUUCACUGAUUUGGAACAUUUAUAUGCAGUUCUAGGCUUCUAGCUAGAUGGAUUAAUAGAUAUGUUGGACCUAUGCAUUUUAUAUUACCCGCAUGGAUCUAUGUUUAUUAUUUGAUGCUCCUCUUUAUCCUGGAGAAGAAUUUUUGCAAAGAGUUGUCAUUUUUGGAGAUAUGGAUUUGUUGUCACUUCAGCAGUAUGCUUUCAGUGCUACAAAGUAUGCAGUGAAUUAGAUUAGAUUGAUGAUAGAACUGUUGGCAGCACCAGUUUAACAUAUGUUGAUUUCUGGCCCAUCUUUAUUUGCUUCCGAGUUAAACUAUGAAUUUGAAAACAAAAAAAAUUAUACAUUUGUUGAUGCUAAAUUUAUCAGUCCUUUUGUUUUGAUAAUCACCUCCUGCAUGUGUUCCUGGGUAGUUUUCUUACUGCCACAGCUUGGUUGUUCUAGCAGGAUAAUGUAUUUUUUUAUGGAAAACACGGAUGAGUAAUUACAUGAUAUAUUAUUAAUAUUAAACUAUGUUGUUUCUCUGAAACUAACUUUGUAUUUCAGCUUUGGAAACUGUGUUCUAACCUUAGUUCCGACAAGAGGGCCACUAUAAUCACCAACUGGUUUGAGUUUUGUCACCACGCCAAAAUUCGUGAGGGAGACAUCUUAUGCAUUUGUUUCAGGAUCACUUCAAAGCGCAGCCUGGUUUUCACACUGCACCGCCUCUAGAUGCACCAUCGACGACACUGCAGGCCCUGUGUUAAUAUAAUCUAGCACUAAGUACUCUUAAUUAUGCUCUAUCCUGUGACAUCCUAUGGUUUGCUUUUGGUCCUCUUAUCACAUGCUUUUCAAGACGCUAAAUUUAUUUGUUGCUUAUGUAAAGUGCACUAUUCUUAGUCAGAUGUUUCAUGUCCAGAUCCAUAAUGCCCUUUCUGUGUAUAUAUAUAUAUAUAUUUCUAUUUC